GAGCCUUUACGUAUUGCGAAGCUGGUCUCGAGUGACUUCCUGAAAUUUGGGGGCAAUUUUUGGGAACGUGCUCACGUGGUAGAUAUAGAAGUCAUGUGUCCCGGGGCCACCAUAUAUGUUAGUUUUUGCAAAAGCUACUGCAAAUCAGUACACUCACAUUUGGCUGAACAGGCCUCGGUCAUAUACUUGCAAAUUCUGCUAGUCAUAUGUUCCAAAGACUGGCCAAUGGCUUGUUCAACUUCGUAGCUCCUAGUCAGUGGGCUGAUGGCCAUUGCUGUUCCCUGGUCAGGUUUAGCCAUAGAUGAGGAUGUUUAAGAAAGUUUUGGUUACAAAGUAGAACGAGAUGACCUGUGUGGGACCCUAAAUUGAACCACCAUGAUCUGGGGCCCCUACACGACCUCUGAAAAGGACAAGCCUUGAGGAAGAUGCAAGACGGUUGUGCUUCAGAAUGCUGUACGAUUGAGUACCUGUGAGUCUUCUGUUAGUGUUCGAUGCCACUUGGAGAUUGACGGGGAGUUUUUUCUACAUUAAAGGCUCUUGAGACUAGAUGUUGGGUUCAUGAGGCUUUACGUAUUGAGAACCUGGUCUUGAGUUUUUUGCUUUGCAUUAAGGGCUCUUGAGGCUAGAUCAGGGAUCGGCAACCUUUAACACCAAAAGAGCCAUUUGAACCCGGUUUCCACAAAAAAAAAACACUGAGAGCCGCAAAUACAUUUUGACAUCUAAAAUGGGGAAAAAACACAUUUAUUAGAAAGUAAAAAAUAAACUAAAACUUAUUAGUGCUUUGACUACCCUUUUGAAGAUGGGCUAUAAAGUGUUGCUUAAGAAAUCCACAAAGUGCUACAGAGAAAAUUAAAUUUCUUUUUUAAUGAACACAUUUUGAACAUUCUGAACAUUCUUGAACAUUCACAUUUUGAGUUCUUGAAAAAUAAUAACAAUGUCUAAAUGUCUCUUUCAAAUAAAUUAAAAGGCUGAACUUAAAUAAUCCAUGUAGCAAACAAAAGCAAAAACGUGCUACAAUGUCCUCAUAAGCUUCUUGGAUUUCGAGCAUAUUUUAAAUUCAAACACCAUCUGUUUAUCUUUUAAUAACUGCAUAAUAUUUGUACAGACAUUCAAUCACUUCACAUUCUUUUGCUUUUUUUUGCACUUUUUGCUGGUUCCUUAAAAAAAAGUUAUAUUAAACAUUGCUCAUUCGAACAGAGUCCAGAUUGUAGAUUCCUACACCAAUGUUACAGCAAACUAGAUUUUUUUUUACUGUUCAGCAGAAAGAAAGAAAAAAUCUAAUUGUUCAAUAAAUCAAUGAACUUGAUCAAAUCACUUAAGUGAUUAAAUAAAAGUUGGAAAUCAA